AACAGUGUUAAGUUGUGUGCAGCAAAAGAAUAUAAAAGCAAUGCGUCGACUUCCUUGAAAAUUCUAAUCCUAUAGAUCUAUGAUCUUCUGGGGGCGUUUAUAUUAUAUAUACCUACAUUAAAUAAUAUGCUGUGGUUUAUUUUCUGUAUUUUAUUUAUGCUUUCUAUAUAAAGGAUUUAUGAAAGUUGUCUAGGAAAUUUUAGGGAAAAUUCAAAAGAAACUAGGGUAAAAUGUGUUAAAAAAAACGUAAGUGGAAACACUGCUUUGAAGUUUUCAAAAUUCCAGGGCCGUAAAAUAAUCUCAAAAAAAAAAAAAGUUUUCAAAAUGUCGUAACGAUUUAAUUUUUUAAAUCGUUUUUUUUUUUGUCUUGGUAAAGUUUAUUAUUAAAAAUCAGCAUGCCUCGAAGAACGAAAAUGAAAUGCUAUUUCGGAUGCCUUGAUAACGACAAAGGUUUGAUAAUGACAAAAUUUUAUGGAAAAAUUAUAAGGAGCACUAAAAUGUCUGAAACAUGAAAAGAUUGAUGCACUAUAUUUGAACCAGAACGUGUUAUGUAAUAUAUUAAUUUAAGAGAAACUGAUUCAGCAAGGAAUGUGAACUCUCAAGGGAUCUUAAUUUUUUUUUAAUAUGUUUAUAAUUUUUAAAUUAAUAAUUGAAAUAGUUCUUAAGAACUAAAUUGUUUGUUUUAAAAUAGGUUGUUUAGUUCUUAUAGUUAUAAUACGUCUUAUAGUUACGUUUGAAUAGUUGUAAUUAGUAAGUUAGUAAUAUAUGAAAAUACUGAUAUAAAUUUUUGUAAAUAACCUUUUGUAAAUUCUACGAGAAGAUGAUUUUAAUUAAUGAUCAAAAGUCAACGGUCUUCAAAAGCAUUAUUUGCAAUUAUUUAGAUUAACUGUGGAAUAUAUUUGCUAAGUUGUGUUUUCUGUAUGAGCAGAUAUAAAUGAAAAUGCCCAAACAUGAUUAUGUUUCUUACAUUUUCAUUAUGUGAAAUCAAUAUGCUUGUGACUGAGUAUAUUAAUAAUUUAUUAAAACUUCAGUGAUAGCAACCCUUAUGCACUGCUGAAGUUUAUAAGCACUGGUGACCACUUAUCAUGAGCCGGGUUGCGUGCUCAUCUGCUGUUGAGUGCAAUAAAAAAUUUCGAAACCAUUUCUAUUAUUUAGAUGUAAUAUUAAUGUACAUUUAAUUUGGAUUAAAAGAUAAAUUUACAUUUUAUGUUUGCAUGUGUAUGUUUAUAAUUCAUUUGCAUGUAACGAACAUCAGCUUCUUUUGUGACAAAAUGCAAACUAAUAGUUUGUAAUUAAUGUAAUUAACUUUAAGAUGAUUUUCUUUCAAUCUGCUGUUUGUUUCAUCUAGUAUUACCAAAGCUAAAGCAUCAGAAACGUCAGAAUAGAAAUAAUUUAGAUAGGGAAUAAAAGUAUAACUAAUGUAAUCAUGUCUAAAAUUACUAUAAGCGUCAUUAAGUACAAACUAUCAAUAUUUAAGAGUACUUUAAAUCAUCAUUACAUUUUUUAAACAUUUUUUGUUUUUUUUUGUUUUUCAAAUCAUGUAACAAAACGUUUGUGCAGAACAAAAUGUCACAUGUUAUGAACAUGAUUGUGGGUUAAUCGUUUCUUAAAUUUCUAAAUAUUUAUAAGAAUGCUAAGAUUAUUUUAGUAUUCAGUUUAGUGUGUGUAUUAUCUCUACAAUGCUAGUUUAAAUGACAAUUAUUGUAUGACGAAGCAUAGGUAGUGUUUAUAGAUGUAGUAUUUUCAUACAAGGUCAUGAUCUGUCAUGAUCAACUUUAAGCAAGAACUGCUAUCGUUAAGAAACAAAUUUAUUAAAUUUAAUUCAAAUUGUCUACUAUGUUUGUAAUGGAAAGCUGACAUGUUUAUAUUUCGCACAAAUGACUUAAUUGACAUUGAAUGAUUUGAUUAUCUAGACUUAAUUAACUUUUAGAUAACUUUCGAUUUAAUGUGUACGCUAGUAGGAUUAAUCUAGAGGAGUUAUUGUUAUUCGAAAUUUUAUACAAUUGUACGUUCAUACAAUCUUUUAACAGAAAAUUGUUUGUAAUAUAGGGAAAUUAAAUAGCUUACAGAGAA